GAUGAACGCUGGCGGCGUGCCUAAUGCAUGCCAGUCGAGCGAACAGACGAGGAGCUUGCUCCUCUGACGUUAGCGGCGGACGGGUGAGUAACACGUGGAUAACCUACCUAUAAGACUGGGAUAACUUCGGGAAACCGGAGCUAAUACCGGAUAAUAUAUUGAACCGCAUGGUUCAAUAGUGAAAGACGGUUUUGCUGUCACUUAUAGAUGGAUCCGCGCCGCAUUAGCUAGUUGGUAAGGUAACGGCUUACCAAGGCAACGAUGCGUAGCCGACCUGAGAGGGUGAUCGGCCACACUGGAACUGAGACACGGUCCAGACUCCUACGGGAGGCAGCAGUAGGGAAUCUUCCGCAAUGGGCGAAAGCCUGACGGAGCAACGCCGCGUGAGUGAUGAAGGUCUUCGGAUCGUAAAACUCUGUUAUUAGGGAAGAACAAAUGUGUAAGUAACUAUGCACGUCUUGACGGUACCUAAUCAGAAAGCCACGGCUAACUACGUG
rnacentral:rRNA from 1 species